AGCGCUUUUCUGCUGCCUGUCUCAAAGCAGCGGCCUCAUCACCGGGAUAGGUGAACUGCACACUGUAGUAUAAGUCAGGUUGCUGCUCAU
rnacentral:sRNA from 1 species